UUAUUUUUUCAUUCUUUGUUUUGCUGUCUCUGCUUAUUAAAUUACAUACAGCAGCCCCUCUGCUGUGCCAGCUCUGCAUAGAUUUACUGCCUUGAAGGUCAAUGCAUAUUCUCUUUUGUGUGGAAGAGGUCGUUUCAAGGAGUACUGUAGCUAUCUUGGUAAGAAAUAUGAGUGCUUAGUAAGCACUUUUAACUUGAAUGUCACUGACUAUAAACAGAAUGCAUUUUUUUCUAGUAUUGAGAUCUUGAUGUGAAUCCAAGCUUUUGUACUUUAGAGAAUCAUUACAACCAAGUAAGAGCGGUGAAAAGCUCAGCACGAGUCAUACACCAUGCAGUGUUGGCAGUGGGGGAAAAAAUCCCAAUCAUGCCGUGUUUUCCUCAAGGAUUAUUUUUCUGAAGCAGAUGUCAAGCUUUAGUAGCGCGGUUCUUUCUUAUUCAAUAUGGAUUACUUCCAUCCAGAUGGAAAACUGUUCCCUAUGCAUCUGUACACUUAAUGUGGUGCGGUGCAGUCAUAAUUGCUUCUAGUUUAAAUUGAGAACUGAGUCUUGAAAUAACUACUGGCUUAAAGCUUGUGUGUCAUUGUUUUAAGCAUCUAACUUAAAGCCUGUUCCCACUGACGAGUGUAAGUACUACUACCUAAGUGCUGAAGGGCAAAUAGAUGUCCAUUAAAAUGAAAACCCCCUUGUUGGUGGAAAAUGUGCUCUGGAACUAAUUAACUGAUGCCACUUGAAAAUUAAUAUUAACUGGUCUAAAUACCAAAAUAUUUUCUUGCAUGUACUGUUCCUAACUGUUCGAGAACCACUGAAAUGCUAAUGUAUAUCUGACUGAAGCUGGUGCUAAUACUGCCUAUGUCUAGAUUUUCACGAUGACAGGGUGCUUGCAAAUGUGUUCCUAGGCAUUUCAUAUAGGCUACCUGUGACACUCCUAGUCUGCAAGCAUUGAAAAUGGGGGAACUUAAUGUAUUUGUAUGAAAGAUCUGUGAAGAUGGUUUUUUAAAGGCUGAAAUUUUGCUGCAUUGUACCGGGCGCUGAGAUGCAAUCUACUUCAGAGUCUAUUUACCUCGUUUCCUCGGGGCUCAAAGGGUUUUGCCAGGUGCUUUUUGAAUGCAGGCUAAUAGUGCUGCACUGCUGUUUUUUGAGAUGGGAGUGAUUUGCUCUGCAGCAAGCAGAGCGCAGUUGUUUGUACUCGCAAGCCCUGCAGCUCCUGGUGUCCCUACAGGCUCUAUGACUCAGCAGACUCUUGCUGGUGAUGUACAGAGGAAAGUAGAGUGAUUGCAUUAAAGCAGGCAGUGAUGCAGAAUUGGGAGCCCUCUGGAGUCACAGUGCAGCUUUUUUUAACAGCAUUCAUUAUGUUAAUGUCAUUGGCUUGCUGUCCAGUGUAUAUCAUCCAGUAGCAAAUCUGCUCUGUCAAAUUAAUGGUGACAACGGUGAUGCCUUUGGAGGGCAGCUUUGUUUCCCAGGCUGUGGGAGGAGGGCAAGCAGUAAUCGUGAUGUGUUUCUCCCUGUUGGUCUGCACCAUCUAAAUGCUUCCUGGUUUAACUUUGGAGGACAAAAUCCUGAAAGCUGGCAAAUGUGUUUUAAUUAACCUUCCAGAUGAAUGAAAUAAAACCAGUGCUUUUAUUUUUUUGAGGGUUGAGAAAAAGCAAGUCCUACAUAAAUGUACAGCCCGGCAUUAAAAUUUUUAACUUGGAGGUACCUUCUGAUCAGCUUAACUCUGUUGCUGUGGUCUUGUUUGCUUUUCUACCCAUACCAGACUUGGUGCCUGUAAUUACAGGGUGACAGUCUCAGGUCACUGAUUGUAAAGCAAGGAUUCUGUACCACUUGUGAUUACUGAGACAAGAAAAUAGCUGAUUCCAGUUCUUACCUGGAGCUUUUUUUCUUGAGUAGAAGAAUGAACCUAGUUAUCUUUCUAACGUUUGCUAGAAGAUCUCCAGGUAGCGGAAGAGAUUUUCCUUCUUUGUAGUGAUCUGAGCCCUGGAAGAUCUGCCUUGUGGAAGAUGAGACGCUGAUUGUUCGACCGGUGGGAUUUGAUUUGCAUGUUGACUGCAAACAAAUCCAGUUCUCUCUGCAAGAGAAGCAACGGAUGGAAAAUCUGCUUUGUUUGGCCUUUAAACUUGUCUGGUUUUGCUGUUGUCAUCUGAUGUUACAAUUUGCAAACCAAUAAAUUGCUACAGUCUCUGCUAAAUAUGAGAUUUUGUGUGUGCAAGGCUGUGACCUUGCUGUUUUUUCCUAUCUACAACACAACUGCCCCCUUUUUCUUCACCUGCUUCAUCAACCCUGCCAAAAUAAAUGCCCUUGUUCCCUGCUUAGGAGGAAAUGUCUGUAAAAGCUGGUAUUUCUGGCUCUGUCUUGCAUCACUGUAUGUGCUUACCAUCACUGCGAGCAGUUUGUUGACCUUGUACAAGGAAAUCAUGGUAACAUCUGCUGGUAGGGUUUUGUUGCCCAUAGUUUGCAUGCAGUCAGGGAGGAGAAGGUGUGUAGUGAUACUACCCCGGAGUAUUCUCGGCAGCACAGGUUACCCUUGGGAUUAUGAACUGAACUGGAUUCCUCAUUUGAUUUUCUUCAUUGUCUGUUGAAUUGCAUUAGCCUA